GAAAAACAUCAGUGUCUCGGCACUUGACACACAUCUGUUUUCUGUUUUUUUUUUUUUACAAUUUUCCAUGAGAGAUAAAAGUGUUCACAAAAUUAUACAGGUAGCAUGAAGUCAACAUCUUGAACGAUUAGAAACAAAUGUAAACUCUACAAAUGAUUGGUCUACUCACGUGUUUAGAAAAUUCCGGACUCGUUUCAAGACACUGGGUCCCAUCUUCAAAGCUCAUAACUUACUAUCAUUCACUUUAAAACUCGUCCGUAGUUUCCAAAACAUACAAUUAGUAUUGUAAUGAACACGUGACGCAAAUCUUAAUGAAUGGUUCUGAGGAUGUUCCACCAAAUUCUAUCUUCAUCCAUCGAGAUAACAACCAUUGAGAUACCAACGACAGAACGUCCAUGUCUGGAGAAGCACCUCCACAGAUGCGACAACAAAAACACUGGGGAGGACAUUGCUCUGAGAUUUGAAGCGUGAAUGCUCUAGACCUCUUUGGAUUGAAACUGAAAAAUUAUUUCAAAGAAUAAACAUAGUAGACUUGUGGUGUUAUUCUC